GGGAGGCAAACAGGUGACAAAAUAUGUCCACGUUCUACUGAUUUAACAACAACUGACUUUACAAACCCAGGAAAAAACCAAACCGAACCAAAUAAGAGGCAGAAAAUGGGAAACUACGAACCUAGUACAAAAGAGGUCAAAGUGUUCUCCAUUUUGACUGGAAAGAUAAAAAACUGUCACAAGGAGUUUUUCGACAUUCUGAGAAACCGAAUUAAGAAUCUGAAGGAAGGACG